CAAGCCGGUCGGACGGCCGCGGGCGGCUCGCCGCCUGAGGAAAGUCCGGACUCCACAGAGCAGGGCGCUGGGUAACGCCCAGUCGGGGUGACCCGAAGGAGAGUGCCACAGAAAUGACACAGCCGCGAUCUCGGUCGCGGCAACGGUGAAAUGGUGGGGUAAGAGCCCACCGGCGGCCGGGUGACCGGCCGGCCAGGUAAACCCCGCCCGGAGCAAGGUCGAACAGGGACGGACGCGGUCCGCCGCAUCCAGGGGCGGCUCGUCCCAGGUCCCGGGUCAGACCGCACGAGGUGCCGGGCAACCGGCAUCCCAGAUGGAUGGCCGUCCCCCGCCCAUGGGGUGGGGACAGAAUCCGGCUUACAGACCGGCUUGCAUC
rnacentral:RNase_P_RNA from 1 species